CUUCAGUCGUCUCCCUCACCUCUCUCACUCACCUCCGCCGUCGCCGCCUACCGGGAAUCGCCCAUGGCGGCGAUAAUACUCCAAACCACCCCAAAUUUGUACCCUACACUCCCCACACCCUCCUAAACCUUAUCCCCCCAUUAAUUUCCCCAAAGUCCACACCCAUCUUCUUCAAUUUCAAAUCUGAAAUUCCAAAAAAAAAAAACCUAAUCCGUUCCUCCUUCUGAUUUUUAAUGAUUUCAAGGCUCGAUUCGAGCCGAAAUUUAUGCCAAUCGAUUGUUCUCAGUAAGAACAAUCGAUUAGUGUCAUUUUCGGCUCAUUUCGAAGUUGCCGGAGUCCGGUCUAUUCAUCGUUGGCGGCCAGAUUUCAUCAAUUCCAUCGUUCGUCGUCUCGCCUCAUUCGUCGUCACAUUUCUGGUCAAAAAUCAGACAUGGAAUCAGUCCACAACAACUCAUGUGUAGAUCAGAGUAAAUCUUUAUUGCAUCAGGAAUAUGUAAAGUGAGAAUCUGACAAAUGGAGUGAGAUUCAGGAAAUUGAUCCUAUGGGAGAGGGCUCAGUUGAAAUAGUAUCAACUCUAAUAAAGUUUUUGACAAAUACAUUCCUGUUUUUAGUUUAUCUUGUCUAGUUAGGCAAAUUUGAUUAGCGGACAGAUUUUGUAAUCUUAAAUUCCAUUGUAUUGAGUUUUCAGAAAUAUGUGGUUGGAUAUGUUAGAUGAUAAUUACGGCUGUUUACUUUAAUAUUGUUAAUGGCAUAUAGAUUACUAUUAGUGAAAA